AUGUCUUGUUUGCUUAAAGCACAUGAUAGUGGGGUCUGGGGUCUCUCGGUUGCACCCAAUGCACCUGCUGUCAAUCAUUUAUUGUUCACCGAUGAUAGCCUUCUAUUUUUUGAAGCAACAAGUGUUGGUGCAGCCAAGAUAAGAGAUCUUUUGAACACAUAUUGUGCUGCAUCAGUUCAACGCAUAAACACCGACAAAUCAUCCAUAUAUUUCAGCAAGAAGGUCCCGGAUUCACAGCGUUUGGAGAUUAAAAAUAUCUUGGAUGUGCACAACGAGGAAUUAUCCGAGAAAUACCUUGGCUUGCCCACUGAUGUGGGGAGGGAGAAAGAGGGAUGCUUCAGGUAUUUGAAAGACAGAAUAUGGAAGCAUAUU
rnacentral:rRNA from 1 species